UUACUGAAUCCUGCCAUGGGGAAAAAAAAAGUUUGCAACAGUGAUGCAGCUGAAUUCCUUAGGUCGGGUUUUGGUAUUUGCAGAGGAUUAUUGAGCCCCAGCUUGUGCCGUGUUGUGCUGUGUAUGCAGUGAGUGAGUACAAAGGAUGACAACACCACCGAAGUGGCCUGGAGAUCUGGGGAAAUGGGAUGUCGGGAUCCUGGAAAUGUCUGGUUGAAAGCUGCUACUCAUUCCUGUCUCGCAAUUCAUGAAAGAAAGCCUACGGAGGUGGGCAAAAUGGGCAUCUGCUCAGGCAUUGGGAACAGCAUCAUUGAGGCGGGCAGCCCAAGGGAGUGAGGGGGCAGCAGUGGCACCUGGAAGAGAAGCGAUGUGAAUACCUUGAUUCCUCCUCAGAACUGUCAGCUCAUCACCCCGCCUGGUUAUCUUGCAGAACCACAAUGGCCCCCAGCACGUUUGCUGUGUGGAUCAUCAUUCAAGAUGUGCUUUUGGCAAGGCAGGAAAACAGUCAGGGCCAAGUGGUGGCUUUGACCUUCCCAGAACAAAACUGGGAAGGAGAAGACAGUCAAGGGCUGCGUUGGCAUUGGGCUGACUUGCCCAGCGGUCCAUGAACAUAUGUACAUCCCCAGCAUGUACAUCCCCACCAGUGGCAACGAACUUCAAAGGACUUCAGACUCAGACAUGGCUAAAGAAUAACCUGUGGAAUUAGAUAUACCUGGAUUUGAAUUUGGGGACGGCCACCCCGACAAGAAGACACUGGUGUUGAAAUGGAUGGCAAGAAGGAGCCCGCCAAGCAAGAGAAUGGACUGAAGGUGGUGACAGAGUGACAGACUGGAAACUGGGAGACCAACUGGGAGCUGCCGCAGGAAUGGAGAUGAGGGGAACCACACUCUGCUUGCCGGGGGAUCCAGUCGGGAAGGGAGAAAAGGCUGACCCGUGAGAGGAGAGAAUCAGAGGAGCGUCUCGACCAGUGAGAGCUCAGAGAUCACUCAGGAAGUCACAGAGAAGCACUUCAUAGUGAGCAGAGAGACUGCCGAGGCAGUGAAGCUCUAUAGUGAAACCUGCACAGGCGUCCUGAAGCUCUGAAGACCACUGAGAGAUGAGCAAUGAUGGAAUUUUCAAUAGAAAGGAACUUCGCCCCAUGGUUUUUUGGCAUUUAUUUUAGAAAUUAAAAGCAUCACCAGGUAACGGCUCUGCUGGGAGUGACCUCACAGCUGCUUCUGGGAUGUGCUCACAUGAGACCAAGGCCUGUGCUGGCGUAGAGGAGGGCACGAAUGUGGAGCACAGUCUCCCGUUCAGGAGAUCGGCAUUCUGUGACCAUCCUGACCCUCAAAGUAGCAUUUCUGCAGCACACCUCAAAGUAUCUGAAUACAACCAAGGAGAUAAAGAAGAAACAUGACCAUCCUAACUGAUCAGAGACUCUCCAGAGGGACUGGUCACUGCCACACGGCUCUGCCUCCCACCCUGGGGAAGCAGUCGCGCUCUUGCACCAGAGAGUCAGCAGCCACCGAGGUUCAGCAGUUACUUACUGAAGUUCAGGCAAACCAUGGCAUGUAUCCUGGCUUCAGAAACUCAGAUGGGAAGGAUUCUGGUGUGAGUUCUAAUGGGCAACACGCUUUGUGAAUUCUGAGUUUCUCUCAUCUCACUCUGAUCUGAUUAGGCAUACGCUUUUAUGUUCAGAACUCUGCUGACCUAGAUCUUUAGCGGAUAGGCUUUUCAAGAUAAAUACAGCUCGUGACAAGCAGCCUGUCUUUAAAA